AUUUUUUAGGUGACGUUGCUGGUCCGAGUCGGGAUGGUACGUGAGGCGCGUGACAAGUGGUCGUAGAGUAUUUCGGCCUGGUGAUUUACGGUUAAUUUCUAAUCUGUUCCCAUAAUAAGUAACUUAGAUGUUUAUAGUUCAGUUGGUUUUAUAUUAAUUGGAUAUAUAUGGUUGUUUUUAUGAAGUUAAAUAAAGUACUUGUGGUUUUCAUGUGAGAAUGUGAAAAUGGUUUUCUACCCCUCGUGGUAGUUUGUUUUUAAACGAAAAGAUUUUCAUGUGGAAAACAAUUUUAAAAAGAAUUUUUCGAUUUUCAUAAUUUUUAGUAUUUCAAAAUGAGUUUUCGGAUGGGAAACGUUUUAAACUAAUAGAUGUAGAUUUAUGAUAAAAAUAUGGUAAAAUUGUGGUUGAAUGAAUGUGAAUUGGUUGAUGUGAUGUGGUGAUUGUAUAUGGUUGUUUAUACACUGUGGCUAUAUCAUGUACUUGUGCGACGCCAUGCAAAUACAGGGGAGACUCUGUCCGAGUGAACAGUAGGUUUUCUUUAUUUGUGA
rnacentral:lncRNA from 1 species